UUCAGCUUGUCAUACCCCGAAAACACAUCCCUGUUUGAUUCUGACUUUCAGGAGUUCAGCUGAAGGAUCAUGGGAAACUGCUGAAGGAGGUGUCAUCGUGGUUGUGGUCAUCGCUGCUUUCUCUGAGCAGAAGCAUUGACGAGGGUGGGGAAUGUUUUCCCAGGUCCCACAGGAAAUAUUACACAAGGUCCAAAAACACUUGGUGAAGCCAGAAACCCAGGAGUCAGUGCUGGACACCUCCAGGAACUUCCCUGUAACCGGCAUCUCCUCGCAGGCCUGUGCGGCCGCCGCGAUGGGCUGCUGGUGCUUUUGUUUUGAUUCCUCUCCAGGCCUGGGACAGUCGCCAUCAGUGACUCACACAUAUUGGCUCUUAGCUGACUUUGGCCCCUUUUCUUCUUAAACUUUUUUUUCUCUCUUCAAUGAAUUUCCUCUUGUUUUUCCAGAUACAGUCUGUGGAUGAAAUGGCGCUGUUAUUGUCUCAAAGUUUCCUGGACCUGUUCAAGGUCAGGAGGCAGUUGUUUAAGAGUAAGCAGGGGAACUUUAUAAAGAGUUUGUGUGUGCACUGGGGUUGAUUGCACUGAUGCAAGCGAAAUCCCCAAACAAUACAAAGCCCUGGUUUUCAGUAUUAGACAGGGAUUGAAGAAACUUGUAGAGGCUGGAAGAGAAACGUCAGCCGUUACAACCACAGCUGCCAUUCAGCUGGAAAUGGAUAAUAGCUUUGCCACAAUGUGCUUAUUUUUUUCUCUCUUUUCUAAUCACAGUGAAUUCCCCAGUUUCAUCAGCAUGCAGAGUAUAGUCACUGUCUGUUAUGGAACUAAAUUCAGCCCGAGAGGCUCCUCUCUUAGUUAAAGUGAAGAGACCAAAAGAUGAAACAGUGAGUCAUGAAAUUUAGUCUUUAGACUCUAACACUGGAAUGACCUUAGAAUGGCUGGAUUUACUUCACUAAGAAAAACAAAGAAACAUGCUGCUUAGUAAUCAUGCGCUUUAAAACUAAAUGGAAAAUAAAACAGAAGAAGCAGCAGCCAAGAAACAACAAAGUGACUAGACAGACAUGUAAACGUCUUAAUUUCCCAACACUUUAAAAAGAAUGUAGUACAGUAGUUUUAGAAAAAUAAUAACACAGCUUACGGAGCGUCUGCUUUCAUAGUCAUCAUUCGCAUGUCA